UACAGAGGGUGCAAGCGUUAAUCGGAAUUACUGGGCGUAAAGCCCGCGUAGGCCGUCGAGUAAGUCGGAUGUGAAAUCCCCGGGCUUAACCUGGGAAUUGCAUUCGAUACUGCUUGACUACAGUGUGGAAGAAGGAAGCGGAAUUUCUGGUGUAGCGGUGAAAUGCGUAGAUAUCGGAAGGAACACCAGUGGCGGAGGCGGCUUCCUGGUCCAACACUGACGCGGAGGCGCGAAAGCGGGGGGAGCGAACAGG
rnacentral:rRNA from 1 species